AUAAGAGGUCCAGCCUGCCCAGUGACUAAGUUCAACGGCCGCGGUAUCCUAACCGUGCGAAGGUAGCGUAAUCACUUGUUCUUUAAAUGAGGACUAGUAUGAAUGGCAUCACGAGGGUUAUACUGUCUCCUUUUUUUAAUCAAUGAAACUGAUCUCCCCGUGAAGAAGCGGGAAUAAAAAUAUAAGACGAGAAGACCCUAUGGAGCUUUAAACAAUUAUAGCACUGGCCCACACUUCUUACUCUUCUGAGACAUAACUAUUAUAUAGGCCAACAUGACUAUUAGUUUUAGGUUGGGGUGACCGCGGAGCAAAAACUAACCUCCACAUUGAACGGAACUACUCCUGAGCUAUGAGCUACAACUCUGAGCACCAAUAAACUGACAUCAAUUGACCCAACAUGUUGAGCAACGAACCAAGUUACCCUAGGGAUAACAGCGCAAUCCAUUUCAAGAGCCCCUAUCGACAAAUGGGUUUACGACCUCGAUGUUGGAUCAGGGUAUCCCAGUGGUGCAGCCGCUACUAAAGGUUCGUUUGUUCAACGAUUAAAACCCUACGUGAUCUGAGUUCAG
rnacentral:rRNA from 1 species